rnacentral:rRNA from 1 species
CCUACGGGAGGCAGCAGUGGGGAAUAUUGGGCAAUGGGCGCAAGCCUGACCCAGCAACGCCGCGUGAAGGAAGAAGGCUUUCGGGUUGUAAACUUCUUUUGUCAGGGAAGAGUAGAAGACGGUACCUGACGAAUCAGCCACGGCUAACUACGUGCCAGCAGCCGCGGUAAUACGUAGGUGGCAACCGUUGUCCGGAUUUACUGGGUGUAAAGGGCGUGUAGCCGGGUUGACAAGUCAGAUGUGAAAUCCUGCGGCUUAACCGGAGAACUGCAUUUGAAACUGUUGAUCUUGAGUAUUGGAGAGGCAGACGGAAUUCCUAGUGUAGCGGUGAAAUGCGUAGAUAUUAGGAGGAACACCAGUGGCGAAGGCGGUCUGCUGGACAGCAACUGACGGUGAGGCGCGAAAGCGUGGGGAGCAAACAGGAUUAGAUACCCCAGUAGUC